rnacentral:rRNA from 1 species
GACGAACCGUGCGAACGUUGUUCGGAAUCACUGGGCUUAAAGGGCGCGUAGGCGGACCUCCAAGUCCGGGGUGAAAUCUUUCGGCUUAACCGGAAAAGUGCCUUGGAUACUGGGGGUCUCGAGGGAGGCAGGGGCGGAUGGAACUUCCGGUGGAGCGGUGAAAUGCGUUGAUAUCCGGAGGAAUACCAAAGGCGAAGGCAGUGUCCUGGCUGGCAACUGACGCUGAGGCGCGAAAGCUAGGGGAGCAAACAGG